AAUUUAUCACAUUGAAAAAAAAUGGCUCUUAACUCCAGAAAGGUUGCCGACCCCUGCACUAAACAGAUGAAAUGCAUUUUGCUAUUUGCUGUUGGUUUAGGCUUUUUAUCCUUAUCUGUCCAUUGUCUUCUUUUUAUGGCUUAAUGAGAGACUAUCCAUUUUUCAUCACUUAUCACAAUACUGUCAAGGUUCCCAUGCAUAGUAGGUUAAAAAGAAAUUCAGAUGUUUAUUUGUUGUUGAUGGCUUGCAAUAGUUCAAGUAACAUCCACUUUCCAAGAUAGUUUUCCUAUCUCUUGGAACAAUAUUCAUCUCAUGGAACAAUAUAUCAUCAUAUAUUG
rnacentral:lncRNA from 1 species